rnacentral:rRNA from 1 species
UGGGGAAUAUUGCACAAUGGGCGCAAGCCUGAUGCAGCCAUGCCGCGUGUGUGAAGAAGGCCUUCGGGUUGUAAAGCACUUUCAGCGAGGAGGAAGGUGGUGAGCUUAAUACGCUCAUCAAUUGACGUUACUCGCAGAAGAAGCACCGGCUAACUCCGUGCCAGCAGCCGCGGUAAUACGGAGGGUGCAAGCGUUAAUCGGAAUUACUGGGCGUAAAGCGCACGCAGGCGGUUUGUUAAGUCAGAUGUGAAAUCCCCGGGCUCAACCUGGGAACUGCAUUUGAAACUGGCAAGCUAGAGUCUCGUAGAGGGGGGUAGAAUUCCAGGUGUAGCGGUGAAAUGCGUAGAGAUCUGGAGGAAUACCGGUGGCGAAGGCGGCCCCCUGGACGAAGACUGACGCUCAGGUGCGAAAGCGUGGGGAGCAAAACAGGAUUAGAUACCCUGGUAGUCCACGCUGUAAAACGAUGUCGAUUUUGGAGGUUGUGCCCUUGAGGCGUGGCUUCCGGAGCUAACGCGUUAAAUCGACCGCCUGGGGAGUACGGCCGCAAGGUUAAAAC